rnacentral:lncRNA from 1 species
CAAACUUUGGAGCAGGCUAUCACGGUUGGAACAAUCAGUGCUGAAGGAGUUGAAGAGGAUGGGCAAGCCACGGCUUCUCCUUCUGGAAACGGAGAUCAUCUCCAAAGAAGACCAUCAUUUUCUACUAUGGACAAUGUGGAUGCUAGUUCUCUCCCAUUCACAGGUGUGGAAAUGGCCUGUAGCCUGCAGGAGCCUGAGGAGAAGAGAGGAGCUAGCAGCCCCAGUCAAGUCUAGCGAAGUGCAUCUUGGCCUGCAGUGAUGGCUGUUUCCCCCAGAAAGUUCUUCCACUUCUGGAUCCCACCUCGACUGAACCUUACACAAUCUACUGCUGGACUUUCCAAUGGCAUGAGUUGUACAGGAUGCAAAUCACAGGCAGAUGAUUCCCAAAGACUCUUCUCCUCCGCCCAGAUCUUGAUGUCCUACCAUCCCCUGAAGUUGAUGUAUGUGGGGUUCUGAAAGGUCUCAACACGUGGCAGUAGGCAGCAGAAUUAAUUCCCUGUGCCUCCUGCAAUUCCCUGAGCCUCCCUUUCUCAAAACGCCAGCUUUCUCACAAGGAUAGCCUGAGACAUACGGAAGUGGGAAUGAUGUUCUGUUCUCAGGUGAAGUGUUUGUGCAUAUGUGUGUGUCGGGGGAGAGGAAG